CCGAAAAGCGCCGAAUGGUGUCAACGACUGAUAGCAAUAAAAUACAUUUGACUUUCGAUAACUACAAUAUCAUUGAAUAACUAUUAAUGGUCAGCGCGACUUCGACAGCGAGGAUGGGACUUUCAGAAAUCCCGUGUCGGACACCGGUGUACACACAUUUGUACACGUCACUCGACUGUUGUACAAGCCGGCCGCAGUGUAUCGGUAACACUGGAAAAAUAAUGACAAAAUAGUUUCGAGCCAUUACGAUGCAGAAAAACCAACCCAGUUGAGAUAAAUAUCAAAACUUUGACGUUUUACCGAAAAAUAGCAUUGAUGGAAACAUCUCGAUACUGGUUUCUGAUCCGGUUUAAUAACCAUGUACACAUGGAAUGAUAAACGUUGUGAAACACUGUAAUAAAUAAGGCUGGUGUUUUAA